CUUAAGAUGAGGCGAUUGUUCUGUAUUAUCUGGCUGGGCCUUAAAAGGAAUUACUUGUAUCCUUAUAAGAAGGAGACCGAGCGAUCUUACUACACACAAAGGGGUAGGUGAUAUGAAAAAAAAAAAAAAGAAAGAAAAAAAAACCGGACACUUGAAGAUUCUGGCCUUGAAGAUUAGAGGGAAGACACAAGGCAAAGAAUGUUGACAGCCACCAGAAGAUGAAAAAGGCAAGAAAAGGAUAUUUCCCUAGAGCCUCGGUAG
rnacentral:lncRNA from 1 species